rnacentral:rRNA from 1 species
GACGGAGGUCCCAAGCGUUGUUCGGAAUCACUGGGCUUAAAGCGCGUGUAGGCGGGACGGCAAGUACCUUGUGAAAUCCCCGGUCUCAACCCGGGAAUGGCUGGGUAAACUGCCGCCCUUGAGGCAGGUAGGGGUCGCUGGAACCUUAGGUGGAGCGGUGAAAUGCGUAGAUAUCUAAGGGAACGCCUGUGGCGAAAGCGGGUGACUGGGCCUGUCCUGACGCUGAGACGCGAAAGCGUAGGGAG